rnacentral:misc_RNA from 1 species
CCCCAUGGGUUUUUCGACCUGUGGUUGGACUUGGACUUGGGCGUCUGCCUCCCCAGGCUCGCCUCAAAUGACUCAGUGGGACUGUGUGACCUAUGCCCGACGUAAUAAGUUUCGUCUCGGCUGGUCGCUUGGGCCUGCUCAUAACACACCAUACUUUUGACAUUGACCUCAAAUCAGGUAGGGCUACCCGCUGAACUUAA